UUGCCUUUGCGAUUGAUUGAUUGUUGUGAAUGGGUCAAAGACCGAAGAAUAAUCGCUAUCUUUCUUCUUCAUGCUUGUGGCGGAGAGAGAAUCUUGAAUCCCAAUACAUACGGUCCAUCGCGCCUUAUGGCAGAGAGAAUCCUGAAUCCCCAAUUUGUCUCGUCCUAUUCGAUGCUUCUUCAUGCUUAUGGCGGAUAAAGAAUCUUGAAUCCCAACAUAUAUGGUCCACCGCGCCUUACAAUACAGGAAUAGGGACUAUUGUCAGCUCUGUUAUGUUAAUUAUGGCUUGGUGGAAUAAACUUAUUAGCACAGAUUAUUGAAAAGGUUAUAGGGAAAGGCCUGGUGGUGAUUGUGUAACAGUGAUAUGGCAUGCCUUACAAUAUAGGUCAGCCGCUAUCUUCUUCAGUGUCAUUCAAAGUUUCCCCAAUUCUAUCGUGUUAAUUUGUUGCUUUGAUGCAAAAGAUUAAUAACGUAUGUAGGAAUCGGGACUAUUGUCAGCUCUGUUAUGUUAAUUAUGCCUUUGAUGGAAUGCACUUAUUAGCACAGAUUUUUGAAAAGGUAUGCAUGCGAAUUGAUAUCAAUAAGCUUUCUGGUAACUCCAGUUAUUCUACUAAUAACGCAGUAUACAGGUUAUAUAGCAAGGAAUAGUGGUGAUUGUGUAACAGUGAUAUGGCUUGCCUUUUGUUUUCUUUCCUUUGUUAAGUAUUCCAUUUUGUUCCCUUGUAACCAGUUGUAUAUAAAUAUUCAUUAAAAGGAUGCGACCCAUUGAUGCACAAAAUCUCAAAUAGAACCAAGUUACUCAUUGAUAGAUCCAUUGAAAUGACAAAAAUUGAAAAAUGACUUAUAAUUGUAGAAAUGCCACUAUAAUUGACCCAUAACCCACAUACGAUUUUAUCUAAAUUUUUAUGCCCAUUUACUUUUUUUUUAAACCAGCAUCAUCUUUUGUUGUUCGUUGGGCUUAGGUGAUUGGGUUUAGCUCAAGAAACAAACACAAAUUAAGGAAUAUUCUAAUAUUAUUCCAUAGAUAUUAAAAAUAUUUGAUCUAGUAAAGUUUUAAAAAAUUGUAGGAAAUGUAGUGGUUACGUAGUGAUGGGGGACAUUGGAAGCAACCUCUAAAUACAUGCAAGAAGCAUCUCAAAAUUGGUUCUAAGGCCCAAGCAUUGAUUUGGGAUGUUUUGGAUGAAGAGAAGCCCUCAUAGAAGCAUUUUUAGGCUUAAUUUUGAUAUCACCGAUCAUAUCUAUAAGACUUUGCAUCUUAUAUUUAAAUAAUAAAAUAUUUUUUCAAAGAUUCUCAAUGCAAGAGUUCUCAUAUGAGCUAAUUCAUUUUAAUGGAUUAUUCUUUCCACCAUAUUUUAAGGCCAUGCCAUAGUUCCGAGAAGGAUAUGAGAUCAUAAUUUAAGGAAGAUCGGAAUUCUAAUUUCUCCCUCAUUUCACUCUGUUUCUCCCUACUUUCUGUCUAUCUAUCUAUCUAUCCCUCAUUUCUAUCAGUUUACCCCUAUUAUUCUAUCUGUUUCUCCCUCAUUUUUUUCUACUUGUCCCUCACUUCCAAUUUUAUUUUCAAACCUUUGGUUAGGACUCCUCCUGACAGGGUAUAUGGAUUUUGGCUUGCAAAAGAUCCUCUCCAUCUAUGCAUGAAUGUUGCCUUAAGUAGGAUUGUGUAGGAUCAUGAUCCUUUAAGAGCAUACUAAAAAAUCUUGAAUGUGAUAUGGAAUUCUUCUAAGGAUCUGAUUCUUCUGUUUUGGCACUUGCAGAUUGACAGCCAUAACCCAGUUGGCACAUCAUGAUAUGGCAUUUGUCCCUCUUGACAAUUUAAGAUGUAAUGGCAAUGGGAAUCAAACUGAGAUGGGCGAUGGAUCAGAUGGGUCUCCAAAGGUUACAAAGGGUGGCUCAGAAUUGUUUGAAUAUUCAGGUUUUUAUUUUUGAUAAUUUUAUCUUAAUCUCUGCAAUUUAUCUGGAAUGCAGACCUCUCUUUUCUUUUUGUUUACUAUGCCUCAAUCAGCUAGAAUUUAUCUUUGCAGUUUUUUAUUUACUGUGCUUCAAACUGCAUUUAUUUAUUUAGAUGACUAUCUUUGAACUUACUGUUUUGUUGAUAUGUAGAUAUAAAAACACCAUUACAGGCAAAAGACAAAUUUAAAUUUUAUUAUGAACAUCAAAACAGAAAUAUUGUAGAGUCAAAUUCUUAAACUAUAUGCUAACCACAUACUUGAACUUAAUGUAAGAGAAACCCAACAUGAAACACUGCAAUGAAAACUUAAUCCAAGAAAAGACCAACUAAACACUGCAAUGAAAAACAACUUAAUCUACUUUGAAAAGAAAAAGAAAAAGAAAAGAACUUAAUCUACUUGGAAAAGAAAGAGAAAAAGAACUUAAUCUAAAGAUAGAACAACUAAAUGCUACAAUGAAGUUGAGGGAAAGAAAAAGAAAAAGAACUUAAUCUAAAGAUAGAACAACUAAAUGCUACAAUGAAGUUGCGGGAAGAUCUUUUGGAGAAGCCUUUCAGCCAUGAUUCGAUAUGCCUCUUGUGUAGAGUGAAUCCCAUCCUAGCUUAUAUAUUGGCUUGGAUUCGGGCAAACUGAAACAUCUUGUUCGCACAUUUUAUUGAGAUUGAAAUUAUAGUUUCCUUCAGUUCCAAAACAUGACUUCUGUGUUGACAUUGAGUCAUAUCUUAUACGAAACAAAUUUAGAAAAAAAAAGGUCAGUAUGUACAAUUAAAAACUUCUAACUUCUUAGCAAAACAGUGUUCUAAAAUGCGCUAGG